rnacentral:rRNA from 1 species
CCUACGGGUGGCAGCAGUGAGGAAUAUUGGUCAAUGGACGAGAGUCUGAACCAGCCAAGUAGCGUGAAGGAUGACUGCCCUAUGGGUUGUAAACUUCUUUUAUAUGGGAAUAAAAUGUUCCACGUGUGGGAUUUUGUAUGUACCAUAUGAAUAAGGAUCGGCUAACUCCGUGCCAGCAGCCGCGGUAAUACGGAGGAUCCGAGCGUUAUCCGUAUUUAUUGGGUUUAAAGGGAGCGUAGGUGGAUGGUUAAGUCAGUUGUGAAAGUUUGCGGCUCAACCGUAAAAUUGCAGUUGAAACUGGCAGUCUUGAGUACAGUAGAGGUGGGCGGAAGUCGUGGUGUAGCGGUGAAAUGCUUAGAUAUCACGAAGAACUCCGAUUGCGAAGGCAGUUCACUGGACUGCAACUGACACUGAGGCUCGAAAGUGUGGGUAUCAAACAGGAUUAGAUACCCUUGUAGUC